rnacentral:rRNA from 1 species
GUCCACACCGUAAACGAUGUAUACUUGAUGUAAAUCGGCUCAACCCGGUUUGUAUCGUAGCUAACGCGAUAAGUAUACCGCCUGGGAAGUACACUCGCAAGGGUGAAACUCAAAAGAAUUGACGGGGGCUCGCACAAGCGGUGGAGCAUGUGGUUUAAUUCGAUGGUACGCGAAGAACCUUACCUAGACUUGACAUGUAGUAGACAGGUACAGAAAUGUACUCUUCCGAAAGGACUGCUACACAGGUGCUGCAUGGCUGUCGU